UACGGGGGGGGCAAGCGUUGUUCGGAAUUACUGGGCGUAAAGGGCUCGUAGGUGGCCAACUAAGUCAGACGUGAAAUCCCUCGGCUUAACCGGGGAACUGCGUCCGAUACUGGAUGACUUGAGUUCGGGAGAGGGAUGCGGAAUUCCAGGUGUAGCGGUGAAAUGCGUAGAUAUCUGGAGGAACACCGGUGGAGAAGGCGACAUCCUGGACCAACACUGACGCUGAGUGAGCGAAAGCCAGGGGAGCAAACGGG
rnacentral:rRNA from 1 species